rnacentral:rRNA from 1 species
UACGUAGGGUGCAAGCGUUGUCCGGAAUUACUGGGCGUAAAGAGCUCGUAGGCGGUCUGUCGCGUCGGCUGUGAAAACUCGGGGCUCAACCCCGAGCCUGCAGUCGAUACGGGCAGACUAGAGUGCGGUAGGGGAGACUGGAAUUCCUGGUGUAGCGGUGAAAUGCGCAGAUAUCAGGAGGAACACCGGUGGCGAAGGCGGGUCUCUGGGCCGUAACUGACGCUGAGGAGCGAAAGCGUGGGGAGCAAACAGG